rfam:Dichomitus squalens LYAD-421 SS1 unplaced genomic scaffold DICSQscaffold_81, whole genome shotgun sequence.
GGCCGGCUAGCUCAGUUGGUUAGAGCGUGGUGCUAAUACGGGUUUGAACAUGUGUUCUGACGGUGUGACGCCAAGGUCGUCGGUUCGACCCCGGCGCUGGCCA